rnacentral:rRNA from 1 species
CGAGGUAUGUGGCGAGAAUUUGAGGGACAGGCUUUGAGGCAAGAUAUUGUGAUUCUGAUUGUGUUCCUUAGCCGGGAACCAAUCGGGGUCUGGGAUCUGCUUCUGAUUGGAUUGGGUCGAGAGACUCGAGAGUUCAAUUGGAGAGUUUGAUCCUGGCUCAGAACGAACGCUGGCGGCGUGCCUAACACAUGCAAGUCGAGCGAGAAAGCAGCUUCGGCUGUGAGUAAAGCGGCGCACGGGUGAGUAACACGUGGGCAAUCUUCCGUUGGGAUUGGGAUAACCUGCCGAAAGGCGGGCUAAUACCGGAUACGUUCCUUGGGGCUUCGGCUUUGAGGAAGAAACAAUGCUCGCAAGGGUGUUGCCCGACGAUGAGCCUGCGUCCCAUCAGGUAGUUGGUGAGGUAACGGCUCACCAAGCCAAGGACGGGUAGCUGGUCUGAGAGGAUGAUCAGCCACACUGGAACUGAGACACGGUCCAGACUCCUACGGGAGGCAGCAGUGGGG